rnacentral:rRNA from 1 species
UGAAAAGCNCUUUGAAAAGAGAGUUAAAAGCACGUGAAACCGUUGAAAGGGAAACGCGCUCGGCUAGCAAUGCACGCCCGUGGUUCAGCCGGCUAGUCUUGUGAGUUGGCGUGUGGCGGAUCCGAAUGGACCGUCCGCGUCAGCAUCGCAGGGCGAGCUGUGGUGCACUCCAUGGACGUGCGCGUCAGCGUCGGUUCCCGACGAGUGAUGAGGUGCCGGGGGAAGGUAGCUCGGGUCUUCGGAUCUGAGUGUUAAGACCCUGGUGCUGGGCUCGUUGUGGGACCGAGGAGAGAGAUGAUCGCUGCGGCACCUGCCUCUCGGGGCUAGCCAGCUGUCGUCAGAUGUGCGUCAGGCGUUGAGGACUGCACGCAGUGCUCGAUGUUGCGGCGUGGUCUGGUGGUGGUGUGGGUAUAGAGGUGCCUAGGACGCUGGCGUCCAAAUGGCCGUGCGCGACCCGUCUUGAAAACACGGAA